GGACGCAUCCCGCAUUUUUUACCUACUUUGGUCCGAUUCCCGCCAUCCUCCCCUGAUUGGCUCAGCCCUGCACGUCGGGCUCUCGGGUGAGGGGAAAAAUCUGCACAUUUUUCCUCCUUCCCGAGGCGACUGUGGCCGUUCACUGUGCUCUGUGAGUCACCGCUAAUUUCAGGUUGGUGAAUAUGGGUACAGAAGAGAUGGCUAGAGGCCUCACUCAGAGGUUGGUGUUUGGAGGAAAGAACACCAAAUCUUCCUACCAAAAAGUUCGAGUCCAUGGACCAAGAUACAGGAAAGAAACACCCAUAGAAGGUACAGCAGAUUUCGGGUUUAUUUUAUGACUCAUGGAAAUUUCUAAAAUGAUAAAUAUUGGCUGAGCAGUGGCCUGACAUAAGAAACGCUCAACUAAACCAGACUCUAUGGUUACAAGAAACAAGAAGAGUGUAUUCAACAAAUAAACUGUGACUCCACUUCCCUUCCAAGCUUUCAGAGAAAAAAGAGCAGAGAGCGUUGCCUGGCUUCUGUGAGGUGGCCUUCCUGGCUGGCCACGAGUUCAUUUGUUUUUCCUGAGGCCAGAAACUUUCCUGAGAUGACUGCAGUAUCUUCCUGGCCAAGAAGCCAUUUCAAAUGUCUUUGGGUUUAUACUUUAUUUAGUCCAGACUCUUUUUGGCUAAUAUAAUGAAAACACUUUAGCAACCAUGAAAAUUAAUGAGGGUGAAGUUGGAAAUAUUUCCCCUAAGAAAGAAAAAAAAAAGGGAAAUAAAUAUUGUCCCUCCUGAGUGAAAAUCCCUCCUCUCUGUGUAGAAGAUAGGCAUUCGGGAGAAAUGUUUGGAGUCCAGAAUAUCAGCUUGUUUCAGAGAAAAUUUAGAAAGUAUGAGCCAUAAAUAAUGGUUGGGACCCUCCUGAGCAGAAUUUUUAUUUCUCGUGAGACAAAGUCAGCAUUACCUUAACUUCCCAUCGGCUGAUUUUAUUUCCGAAAGGAAAUAUAGUGUACUAAUAUUCAUACCCAAUGAAAAGCCUAGUGUAACAACUUACCAAAACCUAGUAAUGAGCAGCUUGAAUCUGCCUUUCAGCUGGUUUAUCCUGUGUCACUGUUGUAGGUUUAUUAACAGAGCAGCGUUACUUACUAGCAGCGUUCUUUAGAAUCGGCUAUCCCCAUAAACACACACACACAUACUUUACAGUCUGCAGUUGUGGUAAAUAUGUGGUGAGGAGGAUUAAUAAAGAAAUAAAGUGAGAAAAGAAUCAGGCCACAAUUCCAUACUUCAAGUAAAAUGGCUAAAGGGACGUUAAGCCUGUGAGGGUCCCAAGGCAGGGACCCGAGGGGAGGAACCAAAUCUGAAAAGGUGUUUUGGUAAGUCCGCCAGGUUAUGUUGAUGAUCCUCCUACUUCCCUUGAGAAAGAGGAGGCCGUGUUGGGAUAGAUGUAGAUACCCAGGACCAAGACUCUAGAACACGUUGUAGGAGAGGUUGGAGGGCAGAGAAACUGCUAAAGCCAUUCCAUUAGCUCUUGUAGAGAAUCUACCUUGAGGUAGGAGGGAAACAAGGUGCCCGGCGUGGUCUGGAACAUGGUCUGGAACAGUCAAGUGGGAAGGGAUGUGCAAUAAGACACUGCAUCUGACUGCCCUUUGACAGAGCUGCUGGGAAACUUAUCUCAAGUUUCUCCAGAGAGAAACUUCAAGAGCCAGAUUAAUCAGAGAGAUGUGUCGAUACUGAGGAGAUGGGACUUCUCCUUUGGAAGGCCUGGACCUCUGUAUUUCUCCUCCCUUUGCUUCUCCACUCAUCUUAUAUUAAUAAGCGUUGCAACCCGAUGGGGAGGGAGCUCUCCCCAGCUGAGAGGCCGUGGCAGCAGUGUCUCUGCAGGUAGCCAAGGUAAUGCUGGCACCCACAGGCAGCCUGUUGUGGGGGUGGCUCCAGCAAAACACCUCUCUGGCUGCCAAGGGAGAGGGAACCCCCUGGGCCCUGGAUCAUUCUGCUGGUUGAGCCAAGGAGCAGUAAAAAUAAUUACAGAAUGGAAAUCACUUUGUUGCAUUUUUUCCUGGUUAUUAAAAAAUGCAGGUUUAUUGGGGGGAAAAAAAAACACUCUGAAAAUAUAUAAGAACAAAGCCAAGUGUUCCCAGUUCAUUUUCCCAUCACGUUUUUAUCCAAUAAUAAAAAAGGUGAUUUAAAAAAUUUUUAAUUACACAAAUUAUCUGGGAAUACCUUCUCCUUAUUAAAAAAAUAAAAAUAAAAAAGGCCGUAUAGAAAACUUCACCAUCACUCCCCUGCAAUUCUUUGCCCCUCACCAAAAUUAAACCCUAUCAUUGGUUUGGAACAUGUCCGUCCAGAGUUUGUUCUGCACAUUUACACAUCACACCACACACUGAUCAAUUGAUAGACAGUUUCGUAUUCCUGUGAUUUUUUUUAAACAUUAGUAGUAUCGUAUUCCAUCAUCAACAGCUUCCCUGUGUUUGGAAGGCACGUGAAUGGCUUACCCCAUCACUUCUCUCAGUUCUCUGCUCAGAUAUCACCUCCUCAGUGAGGCCUUCCCUGACCACCCUGUCCAAAAUGAUCACACACAUACCUAUCCUUCCAGUUUCCUUCUCUGCUUUAUUUUUCUCCAUAACACUCAUUGCCAUCUAACUGUAUAUUUUCCCCUGGUUUAUAUUACUUUCUAUUUUCCCCAUUUAAAUAGAAGCUCCACAGAACAGGAAUUUUUAUAUAUUUUUUCACUCCUGUAUUCCCAGUACCUAGAAGAGUGUUGGCACAUAAUAGAUUGUGAAUAAAUAUUUGUUGAGUAAAUAAAUAAAUCAGAUUCCAAAGAAUUGGUGGAAGACCCUGCAGGUGUAGACACGAUGCCUAGAGGGCAGCAGCCAUCUUGUGAGCACUGGCACCAAAGCCACCAACAUUAGGACAGCAGAAUGAAGAAUGGGAAGGAAUCUGGGUUCCAUGCGUCCACCAUACCAGCCCUGAACUGCCUACCUCUAGACUCCAUGUUAUAAGAGAAAAAAAAAUCUUACUUGGUUAAGCUAUUGUUAGGUGCCUGAAAUGUGCAUCUGACUGCCGUCCUAGGUGACACCAGUCAAUGGCCCAGAAAGGUUGAGAACUAUUCUGAGGGUGAAAAGAGAAGAGGGCUUGGGACAGAACCCACAGCAACUCCAGUAAUUCAAAUAUGUGAAGUUGAAGAAGAUCACUUCAAGAGGCUAAGAAGGAGUAAGAAAUGGAAAACCCAGAAUCAAAUGGAAUUAUGGAGCUAAGAAAUAUAGCUUCAAGAAGGGGGAUGUGGUCAACAGACUCAAAUGUUGAUGAGAAGUCCUGGGAAAGGAGAUGUGCUGUUGGACUGAGAACUUAGCGGGCAGAAGUUGAGAGAGUGUCUUUUUGAUGACUCCUGUUUUCUCCGUGAAGUGGCAGGCAGGACCAUCUGUGGUGGUUAAUUUUAUGUGUCAACUUGGCUAGACUAUGGCACCCGGUUACUUGGUCAAACACUGGUCAAGAUGUUGAUAUGAAGGUAUUUUGUAGAUGUGAUUAACAUUUAUAAUCAGUUGACUUAAGUAAAGCAGAUUACCCUCCAUAAUGUGAUGGGCCUCAUCCAAUGACUGAAGGCCUUAACAGCAAACACUGAGGUUUCCUGGAGAGGAAGGAAUUUGCUUCAAAACUGUAACAUUAGAAAUCCUGCCUGAAUUGCCAGCUUGCUAAUCUGCCCUAUGGAUUUCAAACUAGACUGCAACAUCAACUCUUACUGGAAUUGCCAGCCUGCCAGCUCGUCCUACAGAUUUCAGACUCGCCAGCCCCCCAAUAAGCAUGUUGCCCAGCUUGGAUUGUCUGCACUCAUCCAACUGAAAUAGGAGGCACUGCAAGAAGCUUUCGUUUUCUCCAAUCACGUCAAGAAGUUGUCUCCUGGCUCUUCUAAAAUGCACAUGGCAAGAUUGCAUUUCCCAUCGUACUUGAAAAUAGCUGAGGCAGUGUGACUUUCUUUGGCCAAUUUGAUGUGAUUGGGUGGAAACUUUAGAAGCCAGAACAUGCUCUCACUUUUUCUCUAUGAUGACCAGCAAUGUUCAAGACGGUGGCUGCCCCGAUAGCCUGUGUGCUGGAGCGAGGAUGACAUGAAGCAGAGGCCCCAGUGGACCUUACAUGGGCAUGUACCACAAGUGAUAAAGAAACCUUUGUUGUUUUAAGCCCCUGAGAUUGGGGGAUUGUUUGUUAUUGCUGUAUAAACUAGCCUAUAUGUGCUGAUUCACCAGUCUGCCUUGUUUUUGUUUUCAAUUUCAAUAUUUUUUAUCAAAGUAAUGUAUUAAAUAUUUUUAAAGUCAAAUAAUGCUACAAAGUUUAAUUUUAUAAUGGAAAAAGAGCUGCCUUCUGUCCUGUUCCUCCCCUCUCUGCUCUUCUCUAUCCCUCUGCACUUCCCAGAGCUAAUCACUUUUAACCUCUGGUAUUUAACUCUAUAUUAAAUAUUAAAUUCUCUAUAACUCUAUAUAAUAAGCAAAUACUGUUAUUUCUUGUUUUAUCUAUUGUAGGCAUUAUGUAUUAUCUUUCUACUAUGAAAGAUGAAGAAUGAAUCCUUUUACACAUAUACACCUCUCAUCACCACCCUGUUCUCCUAAUUAUUUAUAUCAGAAUUUUUGAAUAAAUCAAUAAUUAGUGUUUCAUCAAUAGGACGAUGUAUAUAUGGUUUUUCCACUGAGCCAAGAGGGAUACUUUGCUUAUACUGCAUUUCCUCCUCAAUUUUUUGUUUUUCCUGAAGUUACUAAUUGCCUUGUUUUUUGUUUGCUUAUUUGUCUAGGCACUUAUUAUUAAUCUCCUCAAACUUUCUUUCUUUCUUUUUUUUUUUUUUUUUGAGGAAGAUUAGCCCUGAGCUAACAUCUGUUGCCAAUCCUCCUCUUUUUGCUGAGGAAGAUUGGCCCUGGGCUAACAUCCGUGCCCAUUUUCCUCUACUUUACAUGGGACACCGUCACAGCAUGGCUUGACAAGCAGUGCGUCCGUGUGCACCCGGGAUCUGAACCAGCGAACCACUGGCUGCCCAAGCAGAGCACGCGCACUUAACUGCUAUGCCACUGGGCCGGCCCCUCCUCAAACUUUCUAAGAGAAAUAUAUAACCUACCUUAAUACUCAUUUCUACAUGUUAAAAUGCAUCAGUUAACUUAUUUUCAUUUUUUUCCUUAAAAACUUAGAAGAAAGCAUUAAUUGCCAAUGAAUCUACAUACUAUAAGAAAGUAGAGUAUCAUAAAUUAAUAAAUUUCAAUAACUGGUGUGAAUUCAUGUAUAUCCCAGCUCCAUCCCUUUGACAAGUGGCUAAGGCUGCAGCAAUAGCAGCAGGGCUCUCACCUACCACCAACUUGUAUGUGCAUCCAGAGUGCCCAGAAGUCAGUUCUUUACCUAAAGAAAACAGAACUCCUUUGAUAGAAAUUGAUUCCAUGUGUUGGGGAACGAAGACGUGUUUAGGAUACCUUGUUUUUAGAAAGCAGGGAUGCGUUCAAGAGCGUUAGGGACAUCACUAAAAGGACAAAGGAGCCAGCCAGUGGGACUCCUGCUGACCACCUUGGAAUAAUGUGCACAUGAAAUAAAGGAAAAAGCGAGUCCAGGAAAUGCAGGAACCAUACAGGGACUGGGAGCAGCUGUGAGCACUGCCGUUCUCCCUUAACUGUUGCCACAGCUGCUGUGGACGCCCUGACUACACCCCUGAGCACCAACCAUCUCUCUGCUUCUGCUCCAUCUCCCCACUGCCAGCAGCUGCGGGUCUUUCCCGCAGGGCUUCAUCUGGCCGUCCGAGUCCAUGAGGAGCUGACUCGGCCCGCAUCUGUGGCAGGCCAAAGUGCCCCUGUGAUCAGCCUUCAACCUGUGGGAGUUGGUGGGUGAAUCUCCAGCUCCCUCACCCUUGGGUGGGGCGGCUCUGAGGUGCCUGUUCUGUCUCCAGCGUCUCCAGCAGGGUUAAACUGUUUCCCCACCACAGUGACUUGGUUCUUAUCACAAACCCUGCUUUGCCUUUCCUGUCUCCCUCCCACCUCCCUACAGGGCUUCCCGGGAUCACCUCCCAAAUAAACUACUUGCACUUGAACUCUUGUCUCCAGGUCUGC